ACGCUUCUUUUCCACCGGAGCUUGCUCCACCGGGAAAAGAGGAGUGGCGAAUCGGGUGAGUAACACGUGGGUAACCUGCCCAUCAGAAGGGGAUAACACUUGGAAACAGGUGCUAAUACCGUAUAACAAUCGAAACCGCAUGGUUUCGUUUUGAAAGGCGCUUUACGGUGCCGCUGAUGGAUGGACCCGCGGUGCAUUAGCUAGUUGGUGAGGUAACGGCUCACCAAGGCCACGAUGCAUAGCCGACCUGAGAGGGUGAUCGGCCACAUUGGGACUGAGACACGGCCCAAACUCCUACGGGAGGCAGCAGUAGGGAAUCUUCGGCAAUGGACGAAAGUCUGACCGAGCAACGCCGCGUGAGUGAAGAAGGUUUUCGGAUCGUAAAACUCUGUUGUUAGAGAAGAACAAGGGUGAGAGUAACUGUUCACCCCUUGACGGUAUCUAACCAGAAAGCCACGGCUAACUACGUGCCAGCAGCCGCGGUAAUACGUAGGUGGCAAGCGUUGUCCGGAUUUAUUGGGCGUAAAGCGAGCGCAGGCGGUUUCUUAAGUCUGAUGUGAAAGCCCCCGGCUCAACCGGGGAGGGUCAUUGGAAACUG
rnacentral:rRNA from 1 species